GCAAUGGACCAAGAACACAUUCAAUAUCGUUGGUAACGAGAAGAUCUUGGUUAUUUCGUUCUACAUUUUGAUAAAAAUAGCAAUGGUUACAUUGUUAUUGAAAUCAACAUUGUUAAGUGUUCCUUCUGUCAAUUUUAACGACUCACAAAUCCUAUAAGCCAAUUCUGACACUCCCAUGGACAGUAAAAUAUUCAGUAUCGUUCGUACCUAGAUGACAUCUAUCAUUGGUUAAUCCAUACAAUAAAUAGAAAUUUUAAAAAAUGUUAAUAUGUUACCAAAUCUCGACCUCGAUUAAAGGCUUUCAAGAACCCUAAAAGCCUAACUUGCCAUGGACAACAUAUAAUCAACAAUUAAUUAUGUCGUUUUAAGAUCGGCGGAAAUUUGUCGGAAAUCUUGUGCAGGUCGACUCUCUAAAAACAGCAUAUCUCCACGAGGAAUUAUUCCGGUUCCCAAGAGGAAUUAUGUCGUUUUAAAGCGACAUAAUUCCGCCGAUCGAACAUAAUCGCCGCGAAGUUAUUUGCAUAUAGAAAUAUUUAAGAAUUUGGUUUUUAAAUUUUGUUUACAAUCAGGAAAUAAUCGCAAAUGUUGGUACCUAGUUGACCUAUAUAUCCUUGGUUAUUCCAUACCAUGGAUAUAGUCCUAGCUAACCUAAAGGACCAAGUUCUUGCAAAAUACGCAAGAACAUGGUCCAAAUGUAUGUAUGCUUUCGUUUUACAGCCGCCCCCAGCAACAGCCCCGCCCCCUGAAUGGUUCCUAGUUGACAAUUAUAUCCCUGGUUAUACCAUACCAUCGAUAUAGUCCUUGGAAACCUAAAGUAUCAGAUCCCUGCAAAAUGAGCGUUGGAAUGGUCCAAAAACAUGUUUGCUUUUUCUUACAGGAGCCUUUUUCAUUAGCUGCUGUUUUACAGCCACCUUACAGCACUCCGUUUACAUGAUCUGUUACUUAAAAGAACUCAUUUUAAAUGAGUUACAUUUUUUCCCUUAAGGCUAUGCAAUGCAAUUUUUUGUUCGUAAAACUCGUCGACCUUCUGGGCAUUUCUGUUCGCCUGGUAUUUUUGGGAAAUUUUAGCUCUAUUGGGGACCGGCGAUGAGGGUGCCCCUUUAUACUACGUCAUUUUUCGGCCGCAAAAAUAUUAAAUGUCGACCUUCUGGUCAUUUCUGUUCGCCUGGUAUUUUGGUGAAAUUUUUAGUACAAAUUUGAGACCCAGCCGGUGGCUAGGGUGCCCCUUUUGGGUAUGCAAUGAAAUUUUUCGGCAGCUAAAAAAUAUUUUUUGUCGACCUUCUGGGCGUUUCUGUUCGCCUGGUAUUUUGGCAGAUUUUUAGAAAAAUCUCGCCAGCCAGCGGUUGUUAGCAGACUCCCCUGGCGGGUAUGCAAUGGAUUUCUAAAAACCGUUGAUUUUUGAAUUUAUGAAUUAAAAAAGCAGGAUUUUCAUUUAAAAUAAUUUAUUUAUUUUGUUUAAUUGUUUUUUAUGCUAAUUUUCUUAAAUAUUUCUCUUAAAAGUGUACAAAGCGAGCGUUAAUUAAAAUUUUUGCUUAUUUGAACUUAAAAUAGCUGUAUCUGGCUUAAUUAAAGUCUGAUCCUGGAAAAAUUAGCUUUGUCCCUCGUGGAGGUCCUUAGAAUUCAUUGUAGUCCUUAAUUUGUCAAUCUGAAAAGAUAAAAACACAUAUAAAUUAAACAAGGCAAAAAAUGUAAAACACCAUUUAAUGUAAAGAAAAAAGGACAUAACUCGGCCGUAUCCUUGCAGAUUUUCAAAGGACAUGGUGCGUUAGGAUCGUAUAGACCCACUGCAUCGAUCUGCAUCAAAAAAAUACGGGGUCAUCUAAGAAUCAUAGGACUUGUAAAAUUUCAGUCGCGGAGCGCACGGAAAUGGGCUGAAC